rnacentral:rRNA from 1 species
UACGUAGGGGGCGAGCGUUGUCCGGAUUUAUUGGGCGUAAAGCGUGCGUAGGCGGCUGCGCAAGUCGGGUGUGAAACCCCGGGGCUCAACCCCGGAACUGCAUCCGAUACUGCGUGGCUAGAGGUAGGUAGGGGAGAGUCGGAAUUCCUGGUGUAGCGGUGAAAUGACGCAGAUAUCAGGAGGAACACCGGUGGCGAAGGCGGAUCUCUGGGCCUUACCUGACGCUCAGGCACGAAAGCUAGGGGAGCGAAACAGG